UCCUGGUACUUACCGCUCGGCUGAUUCAGGCCAGUGGAUGGCCAGACUAAAGCUCAUUCAUCAAGGAUCACCAGAAGACCCCUCUCCACCCCAGAAUUGUGUCCAUAUUCCUGACUGACACAAAGGAACAUCCCAACUUCAUACUACCAUCACCAAUGACUAUUUGUCAAAAUAAAUAUCAUUAUGUUGAAAUGGAAGAAC